rnacentral:rRNA from 1 species
GUCGAGCGGAGAUGAGGUGCUUGCACCUUAUCUUAGCGGCGGACGGGUGAGUAAUGCUUAGGAAUCUGCCUAUUAGUGGGGGACAACWUUUCGAAAGGAAUGCUAAUACCGCAUACGCCCUACGGGGGAAAGCAGGGGAUCUUCGGACCUUGCGCUAAUAGAUGAGCCUAAGUCGGAUUAGCUAGUUGGUGGGGUAAAGGCCUACCAAGGCGACGAUCUGUAGCGGGUCUGAGAGGAUGAUCCGCCACACUGGGACUGAGACACGGCCCAGACUCCUACGGGAGGCAGCAGUGGGGAAUAUUGGACAAUGGGGGGAACCCUGAUCCAGCCAUGCCGCGUGUGUGAAGAAGGCCUUUUGGUUGUAAAGCACUUUAAGCGAGGAGGAGGAGCUCUAGACUAAUACUCUAGAUGCUUGGACGUUACUCGCAGAAUAAGCACCGGCUAACUCUGUGCCAGCAGCCGCGGUAAUACAGAGGGUGCAAGCGUUAAUCGGAUUUACUGGGCGUAAAGCGUGCGUAGGUGGUCUUUUAAGUCGGAUGUGAAAUCCCUGAGCUUAACUUAGGAAUUGCAUUCGAUACUGGGAGACUAGAGUAUGGGAGAGGAUGGUAGAAUUCCAGGUGUAGCGGUGAAAUGCGUAGAGAUCUGGAGGAAUACCGAUGGCGAAGGCAGCCAUCUGGCCUAAUACUGACACUGAGGUACGAAAGCAUGGGGAGCAAACAGGAUUAGAUACCCUGGUAGUCCAUGCCGUAAACGAUGUCUACUAGCCGUUGGGGUCUUUGAGACUUUAGUGGCGCAGCUAACGCGAUAAGUAGACCGCCUGGGGAGUACGGUCGCAAGACUAAAACUCAAAUGAAUUGACGGGGGCCCGCACAAGCGGUGGAGCAUGUGGUUUAAUUCGAUGCAACGCGAAGAAC